AACGAACGCUGGCGGCAUGCCUAACACAUGCAAGUCGCACGAGACCUUCGGGUCUAGUUGCGCACGGGUGCGUAACGCGUGGGAACCUGCCCUUAGGUUCGGAAUAACUCCCCGAAAGGGGUGGUAAUACCGGAUAAUGUCUUCGGACCACAGAUUUAUCGCCUUUGGAUGGGCCCGCGUUGGAUUAGCUAGUUGGUAGGGUAAAAGCCGACCAAGGCCACGAUCCAUAGCUGGUCUGAGAGCAUGAUCAGCCACACUGGGACUGAGACACGGCGCAGACUCCUACGGGAGGCAGCGGGGGGGAAUAUUGGACAAUGAGCGAAAGCCUAAGCCAGCAACGCCGCGUGAGGGAAGAAGGCCUUAGGGUUGUAAAGCGCUUUUACCCGGGAUGAUAAUGACGGUACCGGAUGAAUAAGCUCCGGCUAACUCCGUG
rnacentral:rRNA from 1 species